rnacentral:rRNA from 1 species
UCCUUGUCCAUAAUUGCUAGCAGUUCGGCUGAGAACUCUAGGGAGACUGCCGGUGACAAACCGGAGGAAGGUGGGGAUGACGUCCGGUCAUCAUGGCCCUUACGGCCAGGGCUACACACGUGCUACAAUGGUGCGUACAGAGGGCUGCAAACCCCCGAGGGGGAGCUAAUCUCCUAAAACGCGUCGUAAUCCGGAUCGGAAUCUGCAACUCCACUCCCUGGAAUCCGAAUCCCUAGUAAUCCGCGAAUCCAAAUGUCCCGG